rnacentral:rRNA from 1 species
CAGCCGCCGCGGUAAUAUGUAGGGUGCGAGCGUUAAUCGGAAUUACUGGGCGUAAAGCGUGCGCAGGCGGUUCGUUAAGACAGAUGUGAAAUCCCCGGGCUUAACCUGGGAACUGCAUUUGUGACUGGCGAGCUAGAGUAUGGCAGAGGGGGGUAGAAUUCCACGUGUAGCAGUGAAAUGCGUAGAGAUGUGGAGGAAUACCGAUGGCGAAGGCAGCCCCCUGGGCCAAUACUGACGCUCAUGCACGAAAGCGUGGGGAGCAAACAGGAUUAGAUACCCCCGUAGUCCCUGUCUCUUUACU